rnacentral:rRNA from 1 species
AACGCUAGCUACAGGCUUAACACAUGCAAGUCGAGGGGCAGCAUGGUCUUAGCUUGCUAAGGCCGAUGGCGACCGGCGCACGGGUGAGUAACACGUAUCCAACCUGCCGUCUACUCUUGGACAGCCUUCUGAAAGGAAGAUUAAUACAAGAUGGCAUCAUGAGUCCGCAUGUUCACAUGAUUAAAGGUAUUCCGGUAGACGAUGGGGAUGCGUUCCAUUAGAUAGUAGGCGGGGUAACGGCCCACCUAGUCUUCGAUGGAUAGGGGUUCUGAGAGGAAGGUCCCCCACAUUGGAACUGAGACACGGUCCAAACUCCUACGGGAGGCAGCAGUGAGGAAUAUUGGUCAAUGGGCGAGAGCCUGAACCAGCCAAGUAGCGUGAAGGAUGACUGCCCUAUGGGUUGUAAACUUCUUUUAUAAAGGAAUAAAGUCGGGUAUGCAUACCCGUUUGCAUGUACUUUAUGAAUAAGGAUCGGCUAACUCCGUGCCAGCAGCCGCGGUAAUACGGAGGAUCCGAGCGUUAUCCGGAUUUAUUGGGUUUAAAGGGAGCGUAGAUGGAUGUUUAAGUCAGUUGUGAAAGUUUGCGGCUCAACCGUAAAAUUGCAGUUGAUACUGGAUAUCUUGAGUGCAGUUGAGGCAUGCGGAAUUCGUGGUGUAGCGGUGAAAUGCUUAGAUAUCACGAAGAACUCCGAUUGCGAAGGCAGCCUGCUAAGCUGCAACUGACAUUGAGGCUCGAAAGUGUGGGUAUCAAACAGGAUUAGAUACCCUGGUAGUCCACACGGUAAACGAUGAAUACUCGCUGUUUGCGAUAUACAGCAAGCGGCCAAGCGAAAGCGUUAAGUAUUCCACCUGGGGAGUACGCCGGCAACGGUGAAACUCAAAGGAAUUGACGGGGGCCCGCACAAGCGGAGGAACAUGUGGUUUAAUUUGAUGAUACGCGAGGAACCUUACCCGGGCUUAAAUUGCAGAUGAAUUACGGUGAAAGCAGUAAGCCGCAAGGCAUCUGUGAAGGUGCUGCAUGGUUGUCGUCAGCUCGUGCCGUGAGGUGUCGGCUUAAGUGCCAUAACGAGCGCAACCCUUGUUGUCAGUUACUAACAGGUUCCGCUGAGGACUCUGACAAGACUGCCAUCGUAAGAUGUGAGGAAGGUGGGGAUGACGUCAAAUCAGCACGGCCCUUACGUCCGGGGCUACACACGUGUUACAAUGGGGGGUACAGAGGGCCGCUACCACGCGAGUGGAUGCCAAUCCCAAAAACCUCUCUCAGUUCGGACUGGAGUGUGCAACCCGACUCCACGAAGCUGGAUUCGCUAGUAAUCGCGCAUCAGCCACGGCGCGGUGAAUACGUUUCCGGGCCUUGUACACACCGCCCGUCAAGCCAUGGGAGCCGGGGGUACCUGAAGUGCGUAACCGCGAGGAGCGCCCUAGGGUAAAACUGGUGACUGGGG